CAGUCUGCAACUCGACUGCACAAGCUGGAAUCGCUAGUAAUCGCGGAUCAGCACGCCGCGGUGAAUACGUUCCCGGGCCUUGUACACACCGCCCGUCACACCAUGGAAGUCUGCAAUGCCCGAAGCCGGUGGCCUAACCACUUAUGUGGAAGGAGCCGUCUAAGGCAGGGCAGAUGACUGGGGUGAAGUCGUAACAAGGUAAC
rnacentral:rRNA from 1 species